rnacentral:rRNA from 1 species
CAGUAGCCGCGGGAAUACGUAGGUGGCAAGCGUUGUCCGGAUUUAUUGGGCGUAAAGCGAGCGCAGGCGGUUAGAUAAGUCUGAAGUUAAAGGCUGUGGCUUAACCAUAGUACGCUUUGGAAACUGUUUAACUUGAGUGCAAGAGGGGAGAGUGGAAUUCCAUGUGUAGCGGUGAAAUGCGUAGAUAUAUGGAGGAACACCGGUGGCGAAAGCGGCUCUCUGGCUUGUAACUGACGCUGAGGCUCGAAAGCGUGGGGAGCAAACAGGAUUAGAUACCCCUGUAGUCCCUGUCUCUUAUACA